rnacentral:rRNA from 1 species
UACGGGGGGAGCAAGCGUUGUUCGGAUUUACUGGGCGUAAAGGGCGCGUAGGCGGCGCAACAAGUCACUUGUGAAAUCUCCGGGCUUAACCCGGAGCGGCCAAGUGAUACUGUCGUGCUAGAGUGCGGAAGGGGCUACUGGAAUUCUCGGUGUAGCGGUGAAAUGCGUAGAUAUCAGGAGGAACACCGAUGGCGAAGGCAGGUCUCUGGGCUGACACUGACGCUCAUGCACGAAAGCGUGGGGAGCAAACAGG